rnacentral:rRNA from 1 species
CCGAUAGUGAACAAGUACCGCGAGGGAAAGGUGAAAAGAACCGCUGUGAGCGGAGUGAAAUAGUCCCUGAAAUCAUGUGCUUACAAGGUGUCAGAGCCCGCAAGGGUGAUGGCGUGCCUUUUGCUUAAUGAGUCUGCGAGUUACUGUCAGUGGCAAGCCUAAGGUCUUCUGGACCGGAGGCGAAGCGAAAGCGAGUCCGAAUAGGGCGUUAAGUCGCUGGUAGUAGACCCGAAGCGGAGGUGAUCUACCCAUGACCAGGAUGAAGCGCGGGUAACACUGCGUGGAGGUCCGAACCGAUGUACAUUGAAAAGUGCCCGGAUGAGUUAUGGGUAGGAGCGAAAGACUAAUCAAACCCCGUGAUAGCUGGUUCUCCCCGAAAUAGCUUGAGGGCUAGCCUGGUGUGCUGACCUGCGGAGGUAGAGCACUGGAUGAACUAGGGUCCAUACCCGGAUACCGAAUUCAAUCAAACUCCGAAUGCCGCAGGGUGUAACACUGGAGUCAGUCGGCGAGGGAUAAGCUUCGUCGGCGAGAGGCAAACAUGCCAGACUGGCAGCUAAGGUGCCUAAAUGACGCGUAGUGGAAAGGAUGUGGAGAUACACAGACAAUGAGGAUGUUGGCUUAGAGGCAGCCACCAUUUAAACAGUGCGUAAUAGCUGACUCAUCGAGUGUUUCCGCGCCGAAAAUGAUUGGCGAUUAGCGUCAUACCGAAGCUCCAGAGUGUAGAAGGAUUCGUCUUUCUACAUUGGUAGGGGAGCAUUGUCGCAGCGCAGAAGCAUUGGCGUAAGCCGGUGUGGAGUUGCGACAAGAGAGAAUGCAGACAUGAGUAGCGAUAAGCCCGGUUAAAUUCCGGGCCGCCGUAAACCCAAGGUUUCCUGGGGAAGGUUCGUCCUCCCAGGGUUAGUCGGGUCCUAAGUCGAGGCCGAAGGGCGUAGACGAUGGAAAGCAGGUUCAAUAUUCCUGCACCGGCCAUGGUUAAGCAUCACUUGACGUGGACAUGAGAGAAGAGCUGGCGAAUGAAAGUGCCAGUCCCGCAAGGGGACGGGGAGGCUUCGGCCGAACCGGAUUCUUUGACCUGGACACCGAGAAAAGCGGUGAUGUGUUCCCAUGGGCGCCCGUACCGCAAACCGACACAGGUGGGUGGGUAGAAUAUACCCAGGCGCGUGAGUGAAACCUCGUUAAGGAACUCGGCAAUCUAGCCCCGUAACUUCGGAAGAAGGGGUGCCUCUCCAUUUAUGGAAGAGGUCGCAGUGAAAGGGGUCAACCGACUGUUUAACAAAAACACAGCACUCUGCAAAGUCGUGAAGACGACGUAUAGGGUGUGACACGUGACCAAUGCGGAAAGAUUACGGUAAGAGGUUAGCGCAAGCGAAGCUUCGAGCCCAAGUCCCCGUGAAUGUCGGCCGUAACUAUAACGGUCCUAAGGUAGCGAAAUUCCUUGUCGGGUAAGUUCCGACCUGCACGAAUCGUGUAACGA